UGGACUUCCUGAGGAGGAUGAAGCAGGAGGAGCUGGCUGAGCAUCUGAGGAGCAGAACUUCUGCUGGAGUCUGCCAACAGAAGCUGAAACGUGGCCUGAAGAAGAGGUUCCAGUGUGUGUUUGAAGGAGUCUCUAAAGCAGGAGAGUCCACCUUCCUGAACCAGAUCUACACAGAGCUCCACAUCACA